rnacentral:rRNA from 1 species
AAACGAUGGAUGCCCGCUAUUGGACUUUUAGUUCAGUGGCUAAGCGAAAGCGUUAAGCAUCCCACCUGGGGAGUACGCCGGCAACGGUGAAACUCAAAGGAAUUGACGGGGGCCCGCACAAGCGGAGGAACAUGUGGUUUAAUUCGAUGAUACGCGAGGAACCUUACCCGGGCUUGAACUGCCGGUGAACGAUACAGAGAUGUUGAGGCCCUUCGGGGCGCCGGUGGAGGUGCUGCAUGGCUGUCGUCAG